rnacentral:tRNA from 1 species
GGUGGUAUGGCGGAACAAUGAGAGACGCUAAUUGAGUACGGUUAAUCGUAAAGUGAAAUUCUUUGCUAAGUGUUAGAUAGGUUGAAACUAAAACCUGACAAUCCGUAUCAAUCCUAUCAUGCAGGUUCGAGUCCUGCUACCACCA